rnacentral:misc_RNA from 1 species
AGAAUUUUUCCUUUUUUUAAUUUUAUCUAUUAAUUUGAUGUAAAAAGGGCCAUCGCCAUUGGAUUUAGUCGCUUUGUGUGUAGGACAAUGGCUUUUCAACUAUCAUGUCACUGUUAGUGUCUUUUUCAACUUCAAAUUUAUUUUAAAUGUGAUUUGUAUUAUAAUAAUAUAAUAAUAAUAAUUAUUGGUAUACAAAUCACAUUUAAAAUAAAUUUGAA